GUAGGGGGCAAGCGUUAUCCGGAUUUACUGGGUGUAAAGGGAGCGUAGACGGCAUUGCAAGCCAGAUGUGAAAGCCCGGGGCUCAACCCCGGGACUGCAUUUGGGAUACUGUCAAGCUUGAAUGCGGUAGAGGUAAAGGGAAUUCCUGGUGUAGCGGUGAAAUGCGUAGAUAUCAGGAGGAACAUCGGUGGCGUAAGCGCUUUACUGGGCCGUAAUUGACACUGAGGAACGAAAGCCAGGGUAGCAAAUGGGAUUAGAUACCCCAGUAGUCCUGGCCGUAAACGAUGGAUACUAGGUGUUGCGGGUAUCGACCCCUGCAGUGCCGAAGCAAACGCGAUAAGUAUCCCGCCUGGGGAGU
rnacentral:rRNA from 1 species